rnacentral:rRNA from 1 species
UGAUCCUGGCUCAGAGCGAACGUUAGCGGCGCGCCUAACACAUGCAAGUCGCACGAGAAAGGGGGCAACCCCCGGUACAGUGGCGCACGGGUGAGUAACACGUGGAUUACCUUCCCUGGAGUGGUGGAUAACCUGCCGAAAGGUGGGCUAAUACAGCAUGAGACCACGCACUUUCGAGUGUGAGGUCAAAGCGGGCUUCUGUUUACAUGCUCGCGCUCUAGGAUGGGUCCGCGGCCCAUCAGCUAGUUGGUAGGGUAACGGCCUACCAAGGCAACGACGGGUAGCUGGUCUGAGAGGAUGACCAGCCACACUGGAACUGAGACACGGUCCAGACUCCUACGGGAGGCAGCAGUGGGGAAUCUUGCGCAAUGGGCGAAAGCCUGACGCAGCGACGCCGCGUGGGUGACGAAGGCCUCGG